GUGGGGAAUCUUGCGCAAUGGGCGAAAGCCUGACGCAGCGACGCCGCGUGAGUGAUGAAGGCCUUCGGGUUGUAAAGCUCUGUGGAGAGGGACGAAUAAGGGUUGGCUAACAUCCAACCUGAUGACGGUACCUUUUUAGCAAGCACCGGCUAACUCUGUGCCAGCAGCCGCGGUAAGACAGAGGGUGCAAACGUUGUUCGGAAUUACUGGGCGUAAAGCGCGUGUAGGCUGCUCGGAAAGUCGGAUGUGAAAGCCCUGGGCUCAACCUAGGAAGUGCAUUCGAAACUUCCGAGCUGGAGUGCUGGAGAGGAAGGCGGAAUUCUCGGUGUAGAGGUGAAAUUCGUAGAUAUCGAGAGGAACAUCGGUGGCGAAGGCGGCCUUCUGGACAGCGACUGACGCUGAGACGCGAAAGCGUGGGGAGCAAACAGGAUUAGAUACCCCAGUAGUCC
rnacentral:rRNA from 1 species